rnacentral:rRNA from 1 species
AUGAAGAAGCUUUUUGAAAUACAUCUGCUGGACGAUAAAACGUUCGAGGAUGAAGUCAGACAUCUUAUAGCGAUCAGGCACCAAAAUCUAGUACAACUUAUUGGUUACUGUGCUGAAUCAAGUUGGGAAUUGGUAGAGCAGAGUGGAAAGCAUGUUUUUGCUGAAAUACUGAAAAGGUUGCUCUGCUUUGAGUAUGUAUGCAACAAAAGCCUUGACAAGUAUAUUUCCGAUAUGAUUUUUCUAGAAAAGGAGGAUGACCCCCGGCCUCUGCAUCUAGGAGAUGCAUACGGCCACUUUAUUGAUUAUUCUCGAGGACCUUACAAAGUAUUACAACAAUAUGCCUGA